UAUGGUUGGUCCUCUAGGAACCAGCGGGAAAGAUAAAACCUAUCUGCUUCGUGAACUAUGUUGUGACCCCGCUCCCUUUUCCCUCAGAGACCUGCAGACGGACGGUGGUGUUGGCUUGAGUUUUUGUGACGAAGCUUACUUUUCAGUUUCACCCCUAAGGGCCUCUUCUGCUUACAUACCAAUUGCUGUUACUUGCCUGGUGUAGCAGACACUCUACUACUCCUAGAAGAAUGACGUUGGCCUGGUUGAAUUGACGAGGUUGACUAUUAUGUGACCAAGAAGGACAUAAUAAAUCAUGACACUUGAAGAACAUCCUGAGUUCAAAGAUGGCUCCAGGAAUUUAUAUCAACUUUGUGGCGACCACCUUUCUGAUCCAUGAUUUCCGAUUUAAGCCACCGGCAGUG